CACUAUGGCAGAAGGAACUGCACUAUAUAACCAGGGAUUCGGGACAUGUGUUUCUGCCUUCAGAUAAGUAGGACUUAGUAAACUCUAUCUGUACUCAUACCUGGGGUAGAAAAUGCUUGAAACUGUCAAAUGCUGCAUUAGAUUUGGGGCUCUACCCUAGGUAAAUGUGGCCUAAAAUGGGGAAAAUACCGAUCAAUCUUUGCGGGGGUGGGGGGAGGAGGCUGAAUGAAAUGGGCUUAAAACCCUCCCUGACUUGCUGCCCUCACUAGUGUGGGAUGUUAGGGUGGAUGUGAUGGUGAUUUAGAAUCCAGGUUAUGGAAGCAAAUCCACAGGGAUCCAGAUCUUAACACCACCACGCUGGGUUAUCCUGGGCAUGGGCAAAUUCAUUCAACACCUGGCAGAGCUCCCAUAGUUGUCGGACAUCGUUUUAGGCGCUGGGGAAAGAAUGAACGAGGCACAUAAGAGGCUUUGCCCUUGCAGCCUCGGUUUCCUAGUUUCAGGGGGCAGCAUGAGGCUGCUGGCUGGCUAGGACCCGCUCUGACAAACCAGGUGCCGCCUCCGCCGGCGUCCGCACCUCCUUGCUUCCCAGCAGAUACCAGCACAGCAGUCUGAGCCAGGACCCUUCGCGCUUCGCUUCCGGCCUCCGCGCCUCGCUUCCGGUCGACCGCUCCUUCCUUCCGCUUCUCUAUGGUGCGCGGUCCGCAGUCCUCCCGACGCCGGAAGUGGCUCGUUCACCGGGACGGAUUCUGGGCGCGUGCGGUGUUCAACAUUAUCGAUCACCUGUGGACCAUCAAAAGCCUGCUCCCAGGUCAUCUUUAUCGUCUUCCUCAGUGGAGUGCUUCCUGUGUUAAUGUCCACAAUAGCCCCAGAGGUAGGGACACCUGUUCUCAUGUGAUUUAUAAAGAAACAGACCCAAAGAAAAGUGAAGUGACUUGUUUCUGGACUCAUAGCCAUGAAAUAGAGGCGUGGAGACUCCAUCUCGGGGCUUCUGUGACUCAACUUGGAUGAGGUCUCUGCUGUUUCCUCCUGAUUUCUCCAAACAACCAUGUCAUCAGAAUCGAGCAAAAAACGGAAGCCCAAAGUGAUCCGGAGUGAUGGAGCUCCAGCUGAAGGGAAGCGUAAUCGUUCUGACACUGAGCAGGAAGGUAAAUACUACAGCGAGGAGGCUGAGGUGGACCUGCGGGACCCUGGCAGAGACUAUGAGCUGUACAAGUACACGUGUCAAGAGUUGCAGAGGCUCAUGGCUGAGAUCCAGGACCUGAAAAGCAGGGGAGGCAAGGAUGUGGCCAUUGAGAUUGAAGAUCGGAGGAUCCAGAGCUGUGUACAUUUCAUGACUCUAAAGAAGCUUAACCGAUUAGCCCACAUCAGGUUGAAGAAAGGAAGAGAUCAGACCCAUGAGGCCAAGCAGAAAGUGGAUGCCUAUCACCUGCAGCUCCAGAACCUGUUGUAUGAGGUGAUGCACCUGCAGAAGGAGAUCACCAAAUGUCUGGAGUUUAAGUCAAAGCAUGAAGAAAUUGACCUGGUCAGCUUGGAGGAGUUUUAUAAGGAGGCUCCUCCAGAUAUCAGUAAAGCCGAAGUCACCAUGGGAGACCCUCACCAGCAAACUCUUGCACGUCUGGACUGGGAGCUGGAGCAGCGGAAAAGGCUGGCAGAGAAGUACCGAGAGUGCUUAUCCAACAAGGAGAAGAUCCUCAAGGAGAUUGAGGUGAAGAAGGAGUACCUGAGCAGCCUCCAGCCCCGACUCAACAGCAUCAUGCAGGCUUCCCUCCCAGUGCAAGAGUACCUGUUUAUGCCCUUCGACCAGGCUCACAAGCAGUAUGAGACAGCCAGACACCUACCACCUCCCCUCUAUGUCCUCUUUGUCCAGGCCACUGCAUAUGGGCAGGCCUGUGAUAAGACGCUGUCUGUGGCGAUAGAAGGCAGCGUGGACGAAGCCAAGGCUCUAUUCAAGCCUCCUGAGGACUCCCAAGAUGACGAGAGCGACUCGGAUGCUGAGGAGGAACAGACCACGAAACGCCGGCGACCCACUCUGGGAGUUCAGCUGGACGACAAACGCAAGGAGAUGCUGAAGAGGCACCCGCUGUCCGUCAUGCUGGACCUGAAAUGCAAAGAUGACAGUGUCCUGCACCUGACUUUCUACUACCUCAUGAACCUCAACAUCAUGACAGUAAAAGCCAAAGUGACAACCGCCACAGAGCUGAUCACCCCCAUCAGUGCAGGUGACUUGCUGUCUCCUGACUCAGUCCUAAGCUGUCUGUAUCCUGGGGAUCAUGGAAAGAAAACUCCAAAUCCAGCCAAUCAGUAUCAGUUUGACAAAGUUGGCAUCCUGACUUUGAGAGACUACGUACUUGACCUAGGUCACCCCUAUUUGUGGGUGCAGAAGCUGGGUGGUCUCCACUUCCCCAAAGAGCAGCCCCAGCACACUGUGGUCGCUGACCACUCGCUGAGCGCCAGCCACAUGGAGACCACCAUGAAGCUGCUGAAGACCAGGGUGCAGUCCCGCCUGGCCCUCCACAAGCAGUUUGCCUCCCUGGAACAUGGCAUCGUGCCAGUUACCAGUGAUUGCCAGUACCUCUUCCCUGCAAAGGUCGUCUCUCGCCUGGUGAAGUGGGUGGCAAUUGCCCAUGAGGAUUACAUGGAGCUGCAUUUCACCAAAGACAUUGUGGAGGCGGGACUGGCCGGGGACACCAAUCUCUACUACAUGGCACUCGUGGAAAGGGGCACAGCUAAGCUCCAGGCGGCCGUGGUGCUGAACCCUGGCUACUCCUCCAUCCCGCCCAUUUUCCAGCUCUGUCUGAACUGGAAAGGGGAGAAAACCAACAGCAACGAUGACAAUAUUCGGGCCAUGGAGAGCGAGGUCAACGUUUGCUACAAAGAGCUGUGUGGCCCCCGGCCCAGCCACCAGCUCUUGACCAACCAGCUGCAGCGCCUGUGCGUGCUGUUGGACGUCUACCUGGAGACGGAGAGCCACGACGACAGUGUGGAGGGGCCCAAGGAAUUUCCCCAGGAGAAGAUGUGUCUGAGGCUUUUCAGGGGUCCCAGCAGGAUGAAGCCGUUUAAAUAUAACCAUCCUCAAGGAUUCUUCAGCCAUCGCUGACCUCCCACUUAGCUAUUGUCCGCCUCCAGACCCCAGUAACCCAAGAUGGGAAAGGAGACCCCAGCACUCCCAGUGGGUCUGGGGGAGGAAGACCCUCAAAAUACAUUUGUGGAAUGAGUUGAGUGGAUUUGGGAUCCCAAAAUAUUUCAAAGAUGGACCAAAUCUAACAAGUUGAAAUGUAAAGUCCUACAGGAAGGACCUAAAAACCAACCACUCAUCUGUGUGCUGGGAUGUAAUAACGUCUUGAAUUAAAAUGUGAUCAUUUGGGGAGCCUUUUUCCCAUCGUGGCACAGCAGAAACAAAUGUGACUAGGAACCAUGAGGUUGUGGGUUCAAUCCCUGGCCUCGCUCAGUGAGUUAAGGAUCUGGCAUUGCCACAAGCUGUGGUGUAGGUCACAGACAGCUCGGAUCCAGCGUUGCUGUGGCUAUGAUGUAGGCCAGCAGCUACAGCUCUGAUUUGACCCCUAGCCUGGGAACCUCCAUAUGCCACAGGUGCUGCCCUAAAAAGCAUUUAAAAAAAAAAGUGAUCAUUUUAUGUGAGUUCCCUCAUGGCUCAGUAGUAAUGAACCUGGCUAGGAUCCAUGAGGACUUGGGAUCAAUCCCUGGCCUUGCUCAGUAGGUUACGGAUCCGGUGUUGCCGUGAGCUGUUGUGUAGGUUGCAGACAUGGCUUGGAUCUGGUAUGGCUGUGGCUGUGGCUGGCACCUGCAACUCCAAUUUGACCCCUAGCCUGGGAACUUACAUAUACCAUGGGUGCAAAGACUAAAGGUCAUUUUGGAGUUUCCUUAUGGCACAGCGGGUUAAGGAGCCAGCAUUGUCACUGCUGUGGCACAGGUUCAAUCCCUGGCCUGCGAACUUCUGCAUGCCAUGGUCAUGGCCAAUAAAAAAUGUGAUCAUUUUGAUGAACUACUGGUUUAAAAUGCCUGGUGGGGCACUCAUCCUGGCAAUGCUGAGAGCCAAGAGACACUUCAAAAUUACACUAUUCCUUCUCUUAUUCCAUAGGAUCAAAUUCCACAGGACCAGUAGAAUAUUUACUUCCCUCUGUAUCCAAAAGAACCACUUGUAGGCUACAUAUUUUCUAUUUUCUAAUUUCAUAUACAUUUGUUUUGUUACUAAACUUAGAUCAUAGUGUACAAAUGGUUUUUUAAUUUAAUUUUAAAACCAAAAAAAAAAAAUUGGCAAUACACUCAAAAGUUAGAAAGUGGAAUUCCCCCCCAAAAAAGAAAGAAAAGAAAGUGGAGUUCCUUGGUGGCCUAGCAGUUAAGGAUUCAGCAUUGUCACUGCUAUGGCUCAUGUUCGAUCCCUGACCUGGGAACUUCCAUAUGCUACAGGCCAAAAAAACAUAUGCAAAAGGGAAUUCCAGUGGCAGAGCGGGUAAGGAUCCAGAGUUGUCACUGCAGCAGCUUGGGUAGCUGCUGUGGCAUUGGUUCAAUAUCUGACCCAGGAACUUCCAAAUGCUUUGGGCCAGAGCAAAACAAAUAAGAAAGCCUAAGAAGUGAAACACAGUGAAAGGUUUCACUGCCAGUCUUAUCCCCUCCACCUGCCUAGUUCUCAUCUCCCUCACAUAUAGGCAACCAACUUGCUUAGUUUCUUUUGUAUCCUUUCAAAUUCCUUAAGCAAACACAAAUUAUUUUUCCAUUUUUACAUACAAACAUCAUAGUAUAUACACCCUGAUUUUUUUCAUAUCUUGGAUGUCUUUCCAUAUCGAUACAGAGUUAUGAAAGUCCCUCAUUCUUUUUCAUAGCUGUGUAGGAUUCCAUUGAAUGGAUGUAUCAUUAUUUAUUUAGUUUUAUUGAUGGAUGUUUGGUUACCAGUCUUUGUUUUAGUAACUUGUGCACAGUCAUUUCACAUGUAUAAUACAUCUGUGGGUCAAACUUUCAAAUGUAGAAAUAUCAGAGUAGAGGGUUUAUGUACUCUUCAUUUUGAAGAGUAUUUCCAAAUUCUCCUCCAUGAAGGUCAUACCAAAUUAUGUUCCCACCAGCCAACGUAUGAGAGGUCUUGUUUCUUCACAACCUCACCAAUAAAUGUUAUCGAACUUUU